rnacentral:lncRNA from 1 species
AUACUCUGCUCAGCGGCCGAGCUCUGCAGUUCUCCUCCCGGCCCCCGUUACCCCCCUUCCUUUCCACCGAGAUCCCAAGGUGCUUAGAUGGGUGCGCCUUGGCCGCUGGAGUCUCGAUGCCCCACUGUCGUGUCUCCCUCCCUCCAUGGCCCGGGAGCGCAGCUGCGGCCGAGGUACCGGGGAGGCCUGCGGCACCUGCCGCUCCACAGUAGAGCUUAGAAAGGGGGCCCGUGGGGGGAGCCGCACUGCAGCCCGGCAACUGAGCUGAGCUGUGGCAUGUGGGGUCCGAGGCUAGAGGUCUUGAGACGCUGCUUCUGCCCUGGGGUUUCCAAGCCUUGGGUGCUGUGGGCUGUAAUUUCGUGGAGCCAAGCUCACCACCUUUGGGUACCUAGUACAGACGGAACCCACGCCUCCUCUCUCCGACCCAGCCCUAGACGCUCAGCAAGACCACCCACCCCUUCUAGUACCAGAGGAAGGGCUGGAGAUGAAGGUUCUCAGCUCUAUGGAGCGAAAUGGAGGGGCGGGUGACGGGGAGCGGCCUCCAGUCACUCUGUCCCGCCCCCUGAUUUCUCCUUGACCCUCAUUCAGCCCGGGACAAGGCGGCCAAUAGGGCGCAGAGGAGAGAACUUCCGAAGGCAGGGGUGCGCCCGCCCGCCCUCCUUAUCCCCGUGGCCCACCUCCGCGGGUCCUCUCUCGUGGGCACCUCUCCACUUCUCCGGCCUUGGCGCCCUCCCCUCUCUCUUGGGACUGGCCUCUUGCUAGCUCCCUGUCACUGGAGCACGCUGGCAGAUUUGGCAUGCCCGAGGCCCCAGCGGGAGGGACAGUACAUUCCACUCCUCAAAAGGGCAGGUUCCCUGGUGUGGGAGAGAGACCUGGGCCCGCCAGAGGGACCCCAGAUGGGGGAGGGGAUGACAAGGCUAUGGAGGAAACCCGGGCCCAAGAGGGGGCCCCAAUGGAGCAUGGAAGAUGACCCCGUAAAGGCCCAAGGCUGGAGCAGCUGAGGAGGAGGCAGGAGAGAGGGAAAAAGAAAAGAAGGAACCAGGGAGAGAGAGGAAGAAGGGACUCGAUCCAGAGGCCCUGGUCUCGGAGAAGUCAGGGAAGACAAGAAAAUGGAGUAGCCAAAGAAGAGCAUGCCUGGCACUUGGUUCCACCUGCUGGAUGGAGCUUCUCACACUCUCUCGGGAAGCCCUUUAUGUAUGUACCCUGUGCGCCUGGAGAACAAGGACUCAGCAAACGCAUCCCAGGGCCGAGUGCAGGGCCUCGCAGUCAGGAGGCACUCUAUUAAGCUGAGGGCAGAGAACUUGGAUGCGUGCGAGGGGGGCGGGGAGAAGAAAGAAGAGACACAGUGAGGGAAUAGCAGUAAGGACAGUCAUGAAGAGCCAAGUAUUCAGGGAGCGCCACUGUGCGCCUUCAUUGUGCUGGAGACCCAGGAGCGGCCUAAAGAGAAGAGCCUGGCAAAAUCAGGGAUCAGCGCAGAGGAGCUCCGCGAGACAGAAGGCGCAGGCCAUAGGGCGGAUGGCGGUGGCAAGGAAGAGGGGCAGCUGGAGUCUUUCAGACUCUCUGGAGCUUUGGGGCAGGGCCUGAGCCCUGGACUGGGUUGGCAGUGACACGGGGGACCAGUGCUAUAUCUGAGGAACCACGGUGAGGCUUGGGCCCCAACCGCAUGGGGGCGGGGAGUCAGAGGUGACUGGCGGCUUCCAGGCUGGGUGUCUGGGACAGGGCUCUUCCCUGGCAAAGGCUAGGGCGUGGUGGACUGAAAGGCCCCGAGGUCACUAGCCCCGAUCUGGACUUGGGGUUUGGGUGGUGGUGGGACAAAAGGGGAGAAUUUGGAAGCCAGAGCAGAAAGCUGCUGCCGGAACGGGAGGGGACUGGAGGGCUGCGGGUCUCCCGGGAGAAUCCCCCACGCACUGCCCCGCCCGCCUUAGCACUCCUCGCGGACUGAAGCUCCGUACUUACCGGCCCAGCGCUGGGGGCACCUGAGCACGGAAUCCUUGGUGUCUCAUCCAUAUGCCCCAUUCGGCCCUCCUGUCCCUAGAGACUACCAGAACCUCACUGCGUCCUCCUCCUCCAAAACGCUGAACCUCGAAGACCUGAACUAAGUGCUUAAUUCAAGUCUCCUGGGACCCUUUGGUUCCUCCAAUACCUGCCCACCUGCGGCUACAAGUCCCUCCUGGGGCCUGGGCCUCCAGCCUCCUUCGGUGGGGUGUGGGUCAGUGUGUGUGUUGGUCUUGAUGUGUGAGUAGAUGUGUCGGUGUGUUCGUGUGUAUUGUCAGUGUGUGCUAGCUGUGUGUCUGUAUAUCUGUGUGUCAAUGUGUGUGUUGGCAUGUGUUGGUGUGUCAGUGUAUUUCAAUGCAUGGUGAGUGUAUGUGUGUCAAUAUGGAGAGAGGUGUUAGCUCACUAGCUUUACAUACCUUAUCUCACUCAGUGCAGUGGGCCGACGACUGAGACGUGUGAAUCAGAACAUUCAUUUCAAUAAAGAGGUUUGGAAACUC